rnacentral:rRNA from 1 species
AGAGGGAAACACCCGGUCCCAUCCCGAACCCGGAAGUUAAGCCUCUCAGCGCCGAUGGUACUGCAUGGGGGACUGUGUGGGAGAGUAGGACGCCGCCGGAC